rnacentral:rRNA from 1 species
CGUAGGUAACCUGCCUUGUAGCGGGGGAUAACUAUUGGAAACGAUAGCUAAUACCGCAUAACAAUGGAUGACACAUGUCAUUUAUUUGAGAGGGGCAAUUGCUCCACUACAAGAUGGACCUGCGUUGUAUUAGCUAGUAGGUGAGGUAACGGCUCACCUAGGCGACGAUACAUAGCCGACCUGAGAGGGUGAUCGGCCACACUGGGACUGAGACACGGCCCAG